GGCCUAUUGAUUAUAAUUUUAGGUCUGACCUGCCCAAUGAGUAGUUUAAUGGCUGCGGUAUACUGACCGUACAAAGGUAGCAUAGUCAUUAGUUUUUUAAUUGGAAGCUUGUAUGAAAGGUUUGAUGAGAAAAGUUCUGUCUCUGUUGAAAUUUAUUAGAAUUUUAUUUUUAAGUGAAAAAGCUUAAAUAUAUAUAGAAGACGAGAAGACCCUAUAGAGUUUUAUACUUAUAUAAAUAGUAUAAUUUAAGGUGGAAAAAUUAUCUUUUUAGAGUAGUAUUUUGUUGGGGUGAUAGAAAAAUUAAUUAAACUUUUUUUAAAUUAAUACACUAAUUUGUGAAUUUAUGAUCCUAUAAUAGAUUAAAAGAUUAAAUUACCUUAGGGAUAACAGCGUAAUUUUUCCUAGAGUUCUUAUCGAAAGGGAAGGUUGCGACCUCGAUGUUGGAUUAAAAUGAAUUGCUGGCGCAGUAGCUAGAAAAUUAGGUCUGUUCGACCUUUAAAAUUUUACAUGAUCUGAGUUUAAACCGGUGUGAG
rnacentral:rRNA from 1 species